GUAUGGGCCAAAACUUCAAACCAGACUACGAAUCUGGGGGUCAGGAGUUCGAAUCUCUUCGGGCGCGCCA
rnacentral:tRNA from 1 species